rnacentral:rRNA from 1 species
CAGCCGCCGCGGUAAUACGAAGGGUGCAAGCGUUACUCGGAAUUACUGGGCGUAAAGCGUGCGUAGGUGGUGGUUUAAGUCCGUUGUGAAAGCCCUGGGCUCAACCUGGGAAUUGCAGUGGAUACUGGGUCACUAGAGUGUGGUAGAGGAUAGUGGAAUUUCCGGUGUAGCAGUGAAAUGCGUAGAGAUCGGAAGGAACAUCUGUGGCGAAGGCGACUAUCUGGGCCAACACUGACACUGAGGCACGAAAGCGUGGGGAGCAAACAGGAUUAGAUACCCCGGUAGUCCUUGUCUCUUAUAC